rnacentral:rRNA from 1 species
GUCCACGCCCUAAACGAUGUUCACUCGACAUUAGCGAUACACUGUUAGUGUCUAAGCGAAAGCAUUAAGUGAACCACCUGGGGAGUACGAUCGCAAGAUUGAAACUCAAAGGAAUUGACGGGGUCGCACAAGCGGUGGAGCAUGUGGUUUAAUUCGAUGAUACGCGAGGAACCUUACCUGGGCUAGAAUGCUUGAUGACAGUCUCGGAAACGAGAUCUUCCCUUCGGGGACAUCUUGCAAGGUGCUGCAUGGUUGUCGU